rnacentral:rRNA from 1 species
GACGAACGCUGGCGGCGUGCCUAACACAUGCAAGUCGCACGGACCGCAAGGUCAGUGGCGAACGGGUGCGUAACACGUGAAGAAUCUGUCCAACGGUGGGGAUGAGCGGCCCGACAGGCCGGGUAGUACCGCGUACGCUCGUCUGGUGGCAUCAUCGGACGAGGAAAGCAGCAAUGCGCCAGAGUGAGAUCUCGCGGCCUAUCAGCUAGUUGGUGAGGUAAUGGCUCACCAAGGCGACGACGGGUAGCUGGUCUGAGAGGAUGAUCAGCCACAUUGGGACUGAGACACGGCCCAGACUCCUACGGGAGGCAGCAGUGGGGAAUAUUGCGCAAUGGGCGAAAGCCUGACGCAGCGACGCCGCGUGCGGGAUGAAGGCCUCGGGUUGUAAACCGCUGUCGGGAGGGACGAAGCUCUGACGGUACCUCCAAAGGAAGCACCGGCUAACUCUGUGCCAGCAGCCGCGGUAAUACAGAGGGUGCAAGCGUUGUCCGGAAUUACUGGGCGUAAAGGGCGCGUAGGCGGCUCGAUAAGUAGGGGUGAAUUCCGACGGCUCAACCGCGGGGCUGCCUUCUAGACUGUCGGGCUUGAGCAUGGUAGAGGCAGAUGGGAUUCCCGGUGUAGCGGUGGAAUGCGUAGAGAUC